GAUGAACGUUGGCGGCGUGCCUAAUACAUGCAAGUCGAACGAAGACUGUAGUAAUACUGUCUUAGUGGCGAACGGGUGAGUAACGCGUGGGUGACCUGCCCCGAAGUGUGGGAUAACAGUCCGAAAGGAUUGCUAAUACUGCAUAAUAUCCAAGAGAUUAGAUGCUUUUGGAUUAAAGGAGUAAUUCGCUUCGGGAGGGGCCCGCGUCCCAUCAGCUAGUUGGUAAGGUAAUGGCUUACCAAGGCGAUGACGGGUAGGGGACCUGAGAGGGUGGCCCCCCACAAUGGAACUGAAACACGGUCCAUACACCUACGGGUGGCAGCAGUAGGGAAUAUUAGUAAUGGGCGAAAGCCUGAACUAGCAACGCCGCGUGUGCGAAGAAGGCCUUCGGGUUGUAAAGCACUUUUUGAGAGGAUGAGGAAGGACGGUACUCUCAGAAUAAGUCUCGGCUAGCUACGUGCCAGCAGCCGCGGUAAAACGUCGUACUG
rnacentral:rRNA from 1 species